rnacentral:lncRNA from 1 species
AUUCAUAGCUUGAGUACCUUCUAAAUACUAGCUUCCUGGUAGACUUUUCAAAUACAGCAUCCAGUUUCCUUGGGUGGGAAGUAUAUAUCCUCAUUUAUAUUUUUAUUUUCUUUUAAAUAUUUUAUUUAUUUAUUCAUAGAGACACACACACACACAGAGAGAGAGAGAGGCAGAGACACAGGCAGAGGGAGAAGCAGGCUCCAUGCAGAGAGCCUGAUGUGGGACUCGAUCCAGAGUCUCCAAGAUCACACCCUGGGCUGCAGGUGGCGCUAAACUGCUGCGCCACCGGGGCUGCCCUAUAUCCUCAUUUAUAGAUGAAGAAAUAGGCUCAAAGGGGUUAGGCUAACCGUGGACAAGGAACCAGGUUUGGGACUGGACUUCAGGUCCAAAUGGCUCCACAUAUGAAAGGAUGAUCUUAACAGCUGAAGCUGCCUCUGCCCUUUGUUUAUCAUGGACCUUGAGUCUCAGUUUCUUCAUCUGUAAAAUGGGGAUAAUGAAAGUUUCUAUUUUACAGGGCUGUAAUGAGGAUUGAUGGGGAUGACUGCCUGUCCUACCACUCAGCACAGCACAGUCUCUGGCACAUAGUAUGGGCUCAACAAGCUGCAGCCUACGGUGAUAAUGAUGAUGAUGAUCUUCCUUUGAGAAGCACACUGACUCACGUCCAAGUGGAUUUCUAGGUGAAAUUACAAGUCAGCAGUUGGACCAAGGGGUUUGGCAGUGUGGGGGUUGCUGUGGGGGAUGGAGGGCAGGAGGAAGAGGAGGGUGCCCUACUAUUCUGGAUAGGAUACCCACUGGACUACCUCUUCCUCCCUUUUGACUUACCAGAUUGGCCAAGUAGUGUCUUAAUAUGGCCAAUAUAUCCUCUGGGCUCAUCUGUCCCAUCUUUUCCAGCAAACCAUGGACCUGUGGGGAUAUUGAAUUCCUCUCAGCACAGCCUCAUCGCUACCCACCCCCCUACUUACAACCAUGAGCAGACGAAUAUGCCUGGCCCUGGGAACAGAGCCAAGUGUGGCCAGGCUGGCAUCUCCCCGGGCGGCCACCUCGCCUGAGGAAGCCACGGAACCCCGGCGGCCACCUCACUUGAGGAAGCCAAGGAGCCCUGGGCGGCCACCUCACCUGAGGAAGCCACGGAACCCCGGCGGCCACCUCACCUGAGGAAGCCAAGGAACCCCGGCGGCCACCUCGCCUGAGGAAGCCAAGGAACCCGGGCGGUACGGCCUGUGACCACUAUCACAUGCCCGCGGGCCCCCGGGCUGACCCCUCUUGGGGGUGGCAGCGCCGGUCACCAGAGAGCCCCCAUGGAUCCAUACCGUGACCUGCAGGGAGGUCACGGGACAGUGACGCCCAGCUCUUGGGACACCGGCUGCCCUCCCUCCAACCCCG